UCGAGUGUUUAAACCCUUUCUUUUUUGUAAAAGGAAGGUUACCUCCCGUCCUUUGCUGAGGGCACCCAUAUCGUUUAGGGGUGCUUUUUCAGAAAAACCUUCUGCUUCGGCGCGGUUUACACCCGCCGGAACACCCUCAAAAAAAUUCUCUUUUUAAAAACUGUUCAGUCCGAGAAAAAAUUUUUAAAAGCGAAA
rnacentral:misc_RNA from 1 species